rnacentral:rRNA from 1 species
AUGCAUGCAAACAAGAGUUCUGCGGUACUAAGCAAGAAGGAUGCCGGCGGCGAGGAGGACAUCACCGUCGACCUGCAUCCAUUCAUCCGCGAAUACAAGGGCGGCCGUGUCGAGCGCUUCCUGAGCAGCACAUACGUGGAAGCGUCGGAGGACGCGGCUGCCAACCGUGGCGUCGCGACCAAGGACGUGGUCGUCCACGAGAGCACCGGCGUGUCCGCACGCCUGUUUCUUCCGGCCGCCGCCGCAGCAACCGGCGACAGGCCCUCGGUCAUCUUGUACGUGCACGGAGGAUCCUUCUGCACGGAGAGCGCAUUCUGCCGCACGUACCACAACUACGUCAGGUCUCUGGCGGCUCGCGCAGGGGCGCUCGUCGUGUCCGUGGAGUACCGUCUCGCGCUGGAGCAUCCUGUGCCGGCGGCCUACGACGAUGCAUGGGCGGCGCUCCAGUGGGUGGCGUCCCUAUCUGAUCCCUGGCUUUCCGACCACGCCGACCUCGGGCGCACGUUCCUCGCCGGCGACAGCGCUGGCGGCAACAUCGUCUACAACACGGCCGUGCGUGCUGCUAGAGGUGGUGGCACUGGGGAUCACAUCGACGUGGCGGGGCGUCGAGCGGCUGUCCAGCUCUGA